rnacentral:tRNA from 1 species
GUGGCUCAGUGGUAGAGCAUUUGUCUAGCAUACAUGAGGCCCUGGGUUCAAUUCCUCAGC